GGAGCAGGGAAAGGAGGAGAAAGGAAGGAAGGAGACAGGUAAUGGAGGGCCCCAGAGGCCAGAUGGAGGGGCUCAGCUCUCUCCCUGGGCCUGGGGAAUCCACGCAGCGCUGACUCGCUGACCCAGGCUGUCUGUGCAGGUGGGAGAAGAAUUUAAGAGUGCUAGGACUGCGAGGGAACUGAACCUGAUCGCCUCAGACCCGGAUGAGACCCAUGCUUUCAAGGUGACCAACUACAUGGCGCUGGAUGGGCUGCUGAGCAAACUGCGGUACAACAUCAUCAGCAUGGAAGGUGAGGGCU
rnacentral:lncRNA from 10 species